UGGGGAAUAUUGGACAAUGGGCGAAAGCCUGAUCCAGCCAUGCCGCGUGUGUGAAGAAGGCCUUUUGGUUGUAAAGCACUUUAAGCGAGGAGGAGGCUACUUGGAUUAAUACUCUAGGAUAGUGGACGUUACUCGCAGAAUAAGCACCGGCUAACUCUGUGCCAGCAGCCGCGGUAAUACAGAGGGUGCGAGCGUUAAUCGGAUUUACUGGGCGUAAAGCGUGCGUAGGCGGCUUUUUAAGUCGGAUGUGAAAUCCCUGAGCUUAACUUAGGAAUUGCAUUCGAUACUGGGAAGCUAGAGUAUGGGAGAGGAUGGUAGAAUUCCAGGUGUAGCGGUGAAAUGCGUAGAGAUCUGGAAGAAUACCGAUGGCGAAGGCAGCCAUCUGGCCUAAUACUGACGCUGAGGUACGAAAGCAUGGGGAGCAAACAGG
rnacentral:rRNA from 1 species